UACAGAGGUCUCAAGCGUUGUUCGGAUUCAUUGGGCGUAAAGGGCGCGUAGGCGGCGGGGCAAGUCGGGUGUGAAAUCUCAGGGCUCAACCCUGAAACUGCACUCGAUACUGCUCUGCUUGAGGACUGGAGAGGAGACUGGAAUUCACGGUGUAGCAGUGAAAUGCGUAGAUAUCAGUCGGAACACCAGUGGCGAAGGCGGCUUCUUGGGCCAUUACUGACGCUGAGGCGCGAAAGCCAGGGGAGCGAACGGG
rnacentral:rRNA from 1 species